UUCGCAAUGCCCGAAAGGGUGACGAAGCGACGCCGCGUGGGUGAGGAAGGCCUUCGGGUUGUAAAGCCCUGUCAGGAGUUAAGAAAUGUAAGUGCGCUAAUAUCGCACUUAUUUGACGAAGGCUCCAAAGGAAGCCACGGCUAACUCUGUGCCAGCAGCCGCGGUAAUACAGAGGUGGCAAGCGUUGUUCGGAAUUAUUGGGCGUAAAGAGCACGUAGGUGGGUUUGUAAGUCAGAUGUGAAAGCCUUCUGUUCAACGGAAGAAUUGCAUCUGAAACUACAAGUCUUGAGUGUAGGAGGGGAGAAUGGAACUUCUGGUGGAGCGGUGAAAUGCGUAGAUAUCAGAAGGAACGCCGGCGGCGAAAGCGAUUCUCUGGCCUAUUACUGACACUCAGUGUGCGAAAGCUAGGGGAGCAAACGGGAUUAGAUACCCCGGUAGUCCUAGCCGUAAACGAUGGGCACUAAGUAGAGGGGUUUU
rnacentral:rRNA from 2 species